CAUAAGAGAGCUAUCCAGCAUUGACCUUUUAAUUCAAAGACAUUUAACCAUUCUUGUGU
rnacentral:tRNA from 1 species